GCUCUCAUAGUUUAAUGGAUAUAACGAUCCCCUCCUAAGGGAUAAAUACAGGUUCGAUUCCUGUUGGGAGUACCA
rnacentral:tRNA from 1 species